GGCGUGUGGGGGGGGGAGAUCCCCACAGGUGUGACGUCACAACGCACGCCUCCACUUAUUUUAGUCUAGCUUCAAGCUUAAUAGUGACCCGCUGGAAGUCGAGGGAACAAGAGGCAAAUUCAGGUGCAUUUCCACCGGUGUUAUUAGAGACGUUCGAGAUAACCUGAGGAGGAACUGAAGAGACGGGAAAACGGUUUUGGGACCAAGUGUGUGUCGCGACAAAAUGAGCAUGUAACAUAAAACUGGAACAAAUCGUGAUUAAAAAAUGUAAUGUUAGUACAUUGGAUGAAAAGUGUUUAGUAUUCUAUGGAUUUGUAUAGCUACGUUUCGCGCUCAAAACAGUUAGUGACAAGUAAUCGUUUCCUCUUUUAUCAAAGUACUCACUGCAAGUGGUAUGUUUUUUUCUACCAAUUGCGUGUGCUCGGAAAAUUUUCAGUCAGUGUGGCCUUUGUAAUUACGAGAGUUUAAAAUCAUUUUCAUCGAUGAUUUAACUUCCUCUCAUCCUCUGCAGUGUUAAAAAAAAUUUCGAACAUUUGUUUUUUGGAUAACCUCAUGUAUGGCAAUUUUUAUCGAUGAAAAUACAUCAAUAUCCAUCAGUUCACCAAUGCAGUGCAAUUAAAAUCCUUAUCCCUGGUCUGAUAAUCGAAUGUCCGUUAUCUUACAUAAUCUCUUAAUGACCAUUUAUACCGAUUUAAGUCCUAUCUAAUUGAGACGACUGUUUUUGGUGUAUUAUUUAUUUGGUACAUAAUUUUAUUUUAAUCAUACAAUUAAGGUAGAGGUGUAAACAUUUGCGACGGGUCUGAUACAAUUAAACUCGUAGCGGCGGUUAUCGGUUGUGUAAGUGGAGCAAAGAGUAGUUCUAGGAUUUUCUAACUCACAUAAUUAUAUGUCUUUAAAUAGCUGGUAAAUGUAAUUGUGUAGAAGUCGGGUGAAUCUAAUUUUUAAAAUUAGGGGUGUAUAUAAAAGUAUAAGCGUAAAUGAAUAUGUAGUAUAUCGAGUGAUUUGUUCAAAUCGAUGUACAAUUACUAUGAUCCCGAUGUAUGAUAAAAGUUGACGUCAAUUCCGUCUGCCGUUUGGUCUGGUACAGAAGCACUGAGUCAUCUUAAAUCCGUUUCCUCAUCCAGCAUCCGCGAGUUGAGCUUCGGAUCGAAGUCGGACAGUCCGGCAGACAAGCGUGUUGUUUGGCUUCUCGUACCUACAUGUCCUCGUCCUCUGGUUUAUAGGUUUCAAAAUAUGAGUCAAGCUCGGAGUCGCUCGUUACGAAGUCGAGUCAAUCCGCCGUUUUCAUCUCCCGUUAUCCACAGACCAGAAAUAUGUUCGGUCUUCCAGAGAGCGCUGACACACGGCGGUAUUUUUAGCUCGUUGAAUCACUCGUGGCUAGGCAGGCUGAAAUAGCUUUUCGCCAUCGCCACCAACGACGACGACGACGAUGAGGGCGAAGGCGACGAGGAGUAAGAAGACGAAGGCGAGGACGACGUUGACAGAGACGGAUUGUUCUAACUUCCAUCAUUAACCCGGAAUCGCAAUCGCAUGUGGCCCCAAAAAAUCUCACGUCUCGCGCGUCUUCGUGGCUUCUUGAUGAAUCAUUGUGUUUCAGAAAGGAGUUCGGAGUUAUAAAUAUUUUCUUGCGGAUCGCUAUACCGGUUGAUGGACGAACUUGAAUCAGCUAAAUUCUUGAGGCUUGAUCAUGGCCAGAGCUACUCAAGGUCGGCAGCAAAUCAUUUGGGUAAUAAAAAAUACACACGUACACUCGUAUACAGCUGUGAUAUAGAUGCUAAUGACGUCAGAGCUGAGAAGAGGAGGACGAAACGGUUCGGAAGUUGUCUUAUUUUUAGGUCAAUUUGUCGUAUCUUUAUACGCCCCCGAGUAAAUCACUCGAAAUUAUUACCGAGGGGAUCUUGGCCGCAUUUUUUUAUUCAAGGUUAAGUCCAGUUCAAUGAGGCAAUUCGCUUUACGUGGUUCUAGACUUUUUUACUAAUUGCCGCCGGCCAUACUGGCUUCAAGAUAUUUACCCACACGACGGCUACUCGAAUUUUCGAACUUUGACAAUGACAAUUGUGCGAGGUAAACUACGGUCGCAAUAAUAGAACGUAAGGUAAAUAGAAAUGAGAAUUGGAUAAACAGAGAUCAAGAGAAGUUCGUACAGCUGAAAGAAGCCGUCGGACAAUUCUCGCUGCGACUAUUGCAGAGUAAUUCGCUCAUGCGUAUGAUUGGAUUUUAGCCGAGGCGAAGGGAAUCGUUUAGGACUGUAACAGCUUAGGACUUGACUUUGGGGUUUGAAUUGCGGUUAUUUAAUGGCCGGGUUUUGGUCUCGUGUCCGGGCCAAGUAUAGCCUCGUAAUGUAAUACACGCGAAACGGAGAGACGAACGAACCAACGAAACAGGAAAGUAGGGAGCGAACGCAAGGGAAAACUUGUAUAUGCAAGAAGAAGCAGGCGAGCCGAGAAACGAAGAGGUCAAAAAUAACCCAGAUACAUCGAGUGCACACGGCCCAAACGUUGGCUCGUUCCGAUUACGUUCCGAACGUGAGUCGAGGCUCGGGGAAAAGAUGUAUUAUUUCGUUUUUCACGUUCGCGUGGGUUCCUGCUUAUUAGUCGUACAAACAUUGGAGGAAAUCAUCGUUUUAGGAAGGUAUUUUUAGGUCGUGAAUCGCGUGCCGGAGGAAGAACACCGAGAAUCACCUGCAGGGUAGUAAGUCCGAAAAAUAGACCGACGCUUCUAGAAUUUUCGAUUAAAUUUUAAUUUCGUUUACUGAACUGUGAAAGUAUCGAUCGAUCCGUAAGAUAUUCUCAUACUCUUGGAAUUAAGCAAACCAAAAAAUCGAUAGAAUUGAACAUGAUUUCAUUAUUCAAAAUACACCCGACGUCGAAACCCCUUAGUCAGUUUUGCUACCAAUACUACCAAACCCGAUUUGCACCAUCGUCUUCCUUCAUCUCUUUUUCUCCUUAGGGUCAGUUACGUAAGUCUCGAUUUAUGAAAUUAAAUCUAAAACCGCUAUGGCCGCCAGCUAUUAUUGAGAAGAUUUUAACUGUUGCGGAUUCACGACCGCUACGCAAUAUCGUGAGUAAAUUUAAGACGGAGUUGUUUCCAGACCACGGCAAUAAAUUACAGUGAAUUCUGGAAGUUAGUUUCGAAAAGCGAUUUUCCAGCAUACAUUAAAUAGAUUGAGUACAAUUUUUGUUCGUGGUAAAUUGCGAAACCCUAAAGCUGACAGUUUAUAACAAGGCGAUGGAGAUAAUUUAUUACUCUAUAAUAAAUUAGUCGCUGUGUAUAUGAAUUCAUAGCUGAGAAGCGAGAAAUAUGUGUGAAUUGUUGGAUAAAAUUUACUCGUGAGCUGGUGCUUUAUAGUGUGUAACAAGUUUUGCCAAUUAAUCAAGAUAAGAAAUUUAAAUCUCUUACAAGCAGUGAAUCUACUUGAUAUUCUUGCUUCGCGUGCAAUGAAAACUUAUUUAUAGUAAAAACGAAUAAAUUCCAAGUUACACUAUUACAUUAUACAUAAUCGAAUCAGCAACAAACGAUGAUGUUCAUAUUUAUAGAAUUUUUUUAUUAGACUUUCCAUUGUACAAUAAUAAAUAAUUAGUAGAAUGUUAGGAGUAGAUAAUGCAUAUGUAUGAUGUGCUCUAUGUUUUCGUAAUUUUAUCUAAGAACAUUUUAUGACAAACUAGACAUUAAGUAAGUUUCCUUGUGAAUGAAUAAAUGAUUAAAUAAAUAUUUUUUUUUCUAUGACAACUUGACGUUUCGUGCUAUAUAUCAAUAUAAUUUAGACUCAUGAUGAGUUUAAGUUCUUGCCUUGUUUCGAACUAAGAUUGGGCUUUGUUUUUUUUUAAAAAAAAAAGCCGUACUAGUAUAUUCGUAAUCGAGGUUUACGUUGAUUGCUAUGCUCAAUUGGCAUAUGCUCAUUCGUACAGGAUAUUUUCGUUCAUGUUCCUUCUUUCAAUUCCGAUUUAUUUCAACGUAUUUCAAGGUUUUCAACCCCUACCUCGAAAUAUCUCACAGCAAAGUAUAUACAUACAUAUGAGUUACGGAUACGUCUCACUUUUUCCAAAAUCUUAUUUAUGCACCUUGUAAUUGUAUACCGUAAUAAAUUUACAACCUACAUAUUAUACAUAUACUUUGCUCGUUGACAUUUCCUGAUUCGAUUAAAGAACGUCAGUUACUAUUAACUAAUAAUAUCGUUUUUGUCAACGAUUCGUUUUACUUUCACCGAUCGUGAAAAUCACUUUUAGCACCACCUUCACAGUUUCAUCAGGUACCUUUUUGCUGUGUAUAUAUGGUAUAUAUAUACAUACACCCGUAUACAUACACCCAUAUAUUUUGUGAAUGUUUUACAUCCCCACGUAACAAAUAAUUCACGAUCUAAACCUGUUUACCCACAUUUCUCAUAAUACUUAAGAAGACAAC
rnacentral:lncRNA from 1 species